CCUACGGGUGGCAGCAGUGGGGAAUAUUGCACAAUGGGGGAAACCCUGAUGCAGCGAUGUCGCGUGGAGGAAGAAGGUUUUCGGAUUGUAAACUCUUUUUAUCAGGGACGAUAAUGACGGUACCUGAAGAAAAAGCUCAGGCUAACUACGUGCCAGCAGCCGCGGUAAUACGGAGGGAGCGAGCGUUGUCCGGAAUUAUUGGGUGUAAAGGGAGCGUAGGAGGGACGGCAAGUCAGAUGUGAAAAUUGAGGGCUCAACUUUCAGACUGCAUUUGAAACUGCUGUUCUUGAGUGAAGUAGAGGUAGGCGGAAUGCGUGGUGUAGCGGUGAAAUGCAUAGAUAUCACGAAGAACUCCGAUGGCGAAGGCAGCUUACUGGGCUUUUACUGACGCUGAGGCUCGAAAGCGUGGGGAGCAAACAGGAUUAGAUACCCGGGUAGUC
rnacentral:rRNA from 1 species